rnacentral:rRNA from 1 species
GCUUGCUUCUCUUGAGAGCGGCGGACGGGUGAGUAAUGCCUAGGAAUCUGCCUGGUAGUGGGGGAUAACGUUCGGAAACGGACGCUAAUACCGCAUACGUCCUACGGGAGAAAGCAGGGGACCUUCGGGCCUUGCGCUAUCAGAUGAGCCUAGGUCGGAUUAGCUAGUUGGUGAGGUAAUGGCUCACCAAGGCGACGAUCCGUAACUGGUCUGAGAGGAUGAUCAGUCACACUGGAACUGAGACACGGUCCAGACUCCUACGGGAGGCAGCAGUGGGGAAUAUUGGACAAUGGGCGAAAGCCUGAUCCAGCCAUGCCGCGUGUGUGAAGAAGGUCUUCGGAUUGUAAAGCACUUUAAGUUGGGAGGAAGGGCANUAANNUAAUACUUUGNUGUUUUGACGUUACCGACAGAAUAAGCACCGGCUAACUCUGUGCCAGCAGCCGCGGUAAUACAGAGGGUGCAAGCGUUAAUCGGAAUUACUGGGCGUAAAGCGCGCGUAGGUGGUUUGUUAAGUUGGAUGUGAAAUCCCCGGGCUCAACCUGGGAACUGCAUUCAAAACUGACUGACUAGAGUAUGGUAGAGGGUGGUGGAAUUUCCUGUGUAGCGGUGAAAUGCGUAGAUAUAGGAAGGAACACCAGUGGCGAAGGCGACCACCUGGACUAAUACUGACACUGAGGUGCGAAAGCGUGGGGAGCAAACAGGAUUAGAUACCCUGGUAGUCCACGCCGUAAACGAUGUCAACUAGCCGUUGGAAGCCUUGAGCUUUUAGUGGCGCAGCUAACGCAUUAAGUUGACCGCC